rnacentral:tRNA from 1 species
UGCGAUAGUAGUCUAGCGGUAGGACAGGGGCUUCCCAAGCCUCUAGCCCGGGUUCGAUCCCCGGCUAUCGCAU